rnacentral:rRNA from 1 species
UACGGGGGGAGCAAGCGUUAUCCGGAUUUACUGGGCGUAAAGGGUGCGCAGGCGGUCGGGUGUGUCAGAUGUGGAAUCCCGAGGCUCAACCUCGGAACUGCGUCUGAAACUACUCGACUAGAGUACUGGAGAGGGAAACGGAAUUCACGGUGUAGCAGUGAAAUGCGUAGAUAUCGUGAGGAACACCAGAGGCGAAGGCGGUUUCCUGGACAGUUACUGACGCUCAGGCACGAAAGCAUGGGGAGCAAAAGGG